UCCUUUUCUCGAGCUAGCCACCCGCCAACCCCACUCGUUUUCACGCGCACGCAACCUCUCCUCUCACUCCCUCCUCCGCGUGGCCGCCGCCGUUCGUUUCUUCUUCCUCCAGGCACAUCGGCGAUCUCCCCUAGAUCACCUCGUUUUUCCCUCUACCUUCAUUACUAUCAAGGCAGAGCGCGGAUGCAUCCGCGGCGGCGUUAGCGGCGACUAGGGAAGGUGGCGGCGGCUUUUGACAAGAACGGUGACUUGCACCGCAAUCGCUCCCCGUUGCUUCUUGAUGGCUGAAGUGGAGCAUUUCAUGGAUUUGGUUACAGCAGCAACACAAGGGUGAGGAGGGCCGUUCCUCUGUGAUCUCCCUUCCAACAAAGUGUUCAUAUCUAUUGGUACUGUCCCAAUGGUUGUGGAUUGAAGAAGAAUAGGGGACUGGAGGCUGACUUCAAUACUCUGCUUCAGUUAUCAGGGUGUACCAUAUCCGGGGUGCUCUACUUGGGUGUGGAGAGACAUCAAGCAAUAUUUGUAUACUCCACUUAUUGUACAACUAACAGUCCUUUAUGGUGGGUGAUCCCGACUCCCAAGCAAGCUACCAGGAUUUAUUAGACCUUUUACCCCCUUGUGUUUUAAGUUGGGCAAUUUCAUGUGCCAUUUGUCCCGAAUAAUAUAUAUAAGAAUUGUGCUUUUUUA